rnacentral:lncRNA from 1 species
UAUCCUCCUCCGGCACAGUACUAUCCUCCUCCACCAGGAGCAGCUUAUCCGCCGCAAGGUUACCCUCCGCAGGGAUAUGGAUAUUCUCCAGUUGCCGGGUACCCGCCAUCUGGUUACAGUACCGGCCUGUAUGCUCCACCUCAUCAUUCAGGUUUGAAUCUGCAGAUAUAUUUUGAUUUGAAUGUUAAUUCGCGUUAUUGUUUAUUAAUUUCUGAAGCUGUUGACUUAUUUAUACAUUUAUGGUACGUUUUUAUAUUAGGAUAUGGUGGCGUAGGGGGACUGUUAGCCGGGGCUGCUUCUGCUUAUGGUACUCACCACAUGUCACACCAUGGGUACGGCGGGCACCAUCACGGCAAGUUCAAGCAUGGAAAGAACUACGGUGGCUUCAGGCAUGGAAAGCAUGGAGGAAAGAAGUGGAAGUAAACUUCUAAAUUUGUACCAAUUCAACCUAUCGCUACAAACGCUUCCCUAUUAAUUCCUCUUGGAUUGAAUAAUCCAUAUACAUUUAUAUGUGUAUGAUGGCUGUGUCUAUUAAGUGCCUUCUGGCAUAUGUUGUAUUUUUCUAAAUAAGAUCAUCCGGGCUAGGUAUUGCAAAGUUUUCUUGUUAUCAGCUUGUUUCCAUUCUUCAUGUUUGUGCAUGCGGUAUAGCUGCGUGAUGAUUUAGUUGGGGCAUCAUCUUAUCUGGUGCCAAAUUAAAAGCCCAAUUCACGGAUGAUAGUAAUUAAUUAACAGAAUCAAAUUAUGGUCAAGUAAGUAAUAAUCUGUGUCUUGGAUCACAGACAGGUCGCUAAAAUAUGCUACAGAAAUCUUUACUGAGAAUGCCGCCGCGCGUAACUUGGCGAUUCAUAAGCAUGGCUUGCAAAACAGAACAGCUCUCUUAAGAGGACAAAGUACGUAUACACGUAUUAAUUAGAUGAAGAUUUUUUCUUUUUUUCUUUUUUUGAUAACGUAACAAUUCCUGAUCGAUAGAACUGAUAUUCUUUUUGAGCUGUUUACUAAAACAGAUUAAAAAAGUUACACAUUGUUCCUCAUUCCUGAACCACACAGCUGCACGC